rnacentral:rRNA from 1 species
GACGAACGCUGGCGGCGUGCUUAACACAUGCAAGUCGAACGGUGAAGCAGAGCUUGCUCUGUGGAUCAGUGGCGAACGGGUGAGUAACACGUGAGUAACCUGCCCUUGACUCUGGGAUAAGCGUUGGAAACGACGUCUAAUACCGGAUACGAGCUGAGACCGCAUGGUCAUCAGUUGGAAAGAUUUUUUGGUCAAGGAUGGACUCGCGGCCUAUCAGCUUGUUGGUGAGGUAAUGGCUCACCAAGGCGACGACGGGUAGCCGGCCUGAGAGGGUGACCGGCCACACUGGGACUGAGACACGGCCCAGACUCCUACGGGAGGCAGCAGUGGGGAAUAUUGCACAAUGGGCGCAAGCCUGAUGCAGCAACGCCGCGUGAGGGAGGACGGCCUUCGGGUUGUAAACCUCUUUUAGUAGGGAAGAAGCGAAAGUGACGGUACCUGCAGAAAAAGCACCGGCUAACUACGU